rnacentral:lncRNA from 1 species
UUAGGAAAAAUGAAUACUUAACAAUUUUAUAUAAUAUUAUCAAAUUACCCCAAAAUCAGGCAUGGCAGUUUCUAUGCAAACUAUAAUGUACAAACAUUCAAUUUUAAUAUAUAUAAUUUUAUAUAUUAAAUUUAAUAUAAAUUUAUUGUUGUAUAUGGAUAUAAAUAUAACAUUUUUUGUGUAUUGAAAGGAGUGGAGGAACGUAAUCUAAUAGGUCAUAAUAGGUUUUAUGACAGUGCUUUACUGUUUUACAGUGCAUUGUUAUUCCAAAUCCUUAGGAAACAUUCUGUCUUAGUUACUAUUGAGAAAAUGGUUUUAAGGCUUAUUUCUUAAGAUAUAAAUGAUAAUGCACAUCCAGUUCUGAACCACUCCCCCACACAAAUAUCCCAUAGUCAUAGGAAGCAAUCGAAGGUCAUCUAAUGACAUGAGCAAAUUCUUGUCUUUCAAUGGUAAAUGAAAUAACAAGAUAUAACUCUUGAGUAUUCCUCUGAUUGGAAUUAUAUAUCCUGCCAUGUAGGGCACUGUAUGGCAUGUACAGUAAUUAGAACUCUCUGGGUGCUUCUCUUGAGACUCUAGCCAUGGCUUCCAUAAUUCAACAUUUACGGCUGAGGUCUUUAUCCAGAAAAUGUGGAAUUUAUUGGGAGCCUGAGAGAUGGAUGAGCCUGGCAAGGAAAUGUGUAUUGUAAUUUAGGGAUGUCCUGCUAUCUUUGAGUUUUCAGCAUUUUCUUUUUCUGUUUAGGCCUGCAUUCUGGAGACUUGCACCUCAGAAACAGACAACUUGAUAACCUGGGUAAAUGCUGGAAGUUUAACAUUGAAUGAAGAAGAACAAAACUGAUUCUUGAGACCUGCAUCACAGAAACAGAAAACUUGAUAACUUGGGAAAAUGGUGGAAGUGUAAUGCUGAAUGAACAAGAACAAAACUGAUGGAAACCAAAGGCAAAAGUGCAGCAGCAUGAUGAAGUUUCCUGAUGCUGGGCAAAAUGAAGGCUACCAUAUUUCCUGGCACUCCUAUAUCUUGAUGGUGUUUUUUCAUACAGGAAGGGCGGGAGAAGAGGGCCUAUGGAGUGGAACUUGUUAUCAUAUGUGGAGCACUACUGCCAUCGUGCGGAAACAGUUUUCAAACACAAGAUUGCAUCCGGCCAGGGAAUGGAUGGAAACACAAAGCAUUAGCACCUUACUAAGUCUGAGGAAUUCAAGCAAGACACCAGGACCAUUAAGAAGAUACUGUAACUAUUCUUAA